AGUGAACGCUGGCGGCAGGCCUAACACAUGCAAGUCGAGCGGCAGCGCGGGAGCAACCCUCUCUGCGAGCGGCGGACGGGUGAGGAAUUCGUCGGAAUCUGCCUAUUUGUGGGGUAUAACGUAGGGAAACUUACGCUAAUACCGCAUACCUCCUACGGGCGUACGGGGGAGACCACAAGGCCUCACGCCGUAAGGUGAGCCGAUGACCGAUUAGCUAGUUGGUGGGGUAAAGGCCCACCAAGGCGACGAUCCGUAGCUGGUCUGAGAGGAUGAACAGCCACACUGGAACUGAGACACGGUCCAGACUCCUACGGGAGGCAGCAGUGGGGAAUAUUGGACAAUGGGCGCAAGCCUGAUCCAGCCAUGCCGCGUGUGUGAAGAAGGCCUUCGGGUUGUAAAGCCCUUUUGUCCGGAAAGAAAACCCGGGGGCUAAUACCCUCGUGUGAUGACGGUACCGAAAGAAUAAGCACCGGCUAACUUCGUG
rnacentral:rRNA from 1 species